ensembl:lncRNA
UCAUUUUUAAAAAUACUUUUAUUUCUGUUUUUAAAUAGCUUGAUAAAACUCAUCAAUUGGUACUCAAGAGUUCAAUUGUAAACAGUUACAAUACAUUACCACUGUGUAUUGAUUUUGUACAUUAACCUAUUUGCAGUGACAAUCCAUAAGACAAGUCAAAGUGAGCAUAUUUAUAAACUGAAAUGCACUGUACUAAGAAGAAACAAUGCCUUUAACUGAAAAUAUGUAAAAGACUGAUGUUUAACUCCCUCCUGUGGUGUAAGCGAGCAGCAUCACCAUCAAUAGCUUCUGGAAGCUUAGAUAGCACUCUGUUAUUCAAAAGUCUGUAUUCACCUCAUUAGAACAGGUUUCAAGUUUACUAUGGAAACUCCUCUCACAAGUUAAAAAGUGUUAUAAUAAAUUUCUAAAAUACAUACAAAGUUGUAAACAUCUUUCUCUGAAACAAACAAAAAUGGUUUGUGCCACCCUCCUCCAUCUCCCACACUGCGAUUAAAAAAAAAGACAGGGCCAAAGACCAAGGCCAGAGACUAAAAUUGUUGUGCAGAGGUAACAUCACAGCUUACGGGAAGAAUUAAGGGUCAGCAUUUAAAGUUAGUCACCAGCAGGUAGCAGAACCCAUUUUCAAGAAAGUUCAUGGAACACUCAACUUCAAGUGAUGAAUCAGGCACUAAGCAUAGAUUUACCUACUUUUAAGAAGAAAAGCUUAAAUUACAUCUAGGUAUUUUCAUAUUGGAUAAUACGCAGAAGUGACUACAGCAGAAACUUAACACCGAUACAUUCACAAGUUUGGGAUUUAACCAUUUUUGCUAUCGGGCUUACACAGAUCUUCCACAAAGAAGAGAAAAAAAAAAUUUGCAAAACAUAUUAUAAAUAUAUUGAGAUCACAGAAAUAAAUUUCAACUUUUCAAGGCAGAUAUUAUUUCUGGAAGUCCCUCUGGCCAUUUUCUGAAUUUUUAGCUUUUAAAUUUAGUUCAUCAUGAACAAUGAAAUAAACAUCUGCUUGGUCUGGAUCUUUUAUCACCAGUUCAAGAAAGACUAUGAUAAUUGAGAUUUUGGGAUGCAAUACAGGACUAAUUUCAAAGGACACAACAGCAGGACUUACUUAAUGCAGGGUGGUAAAGGAUAGCGUUAUUCUAGCACUUCUGUAUUAUUCUUGUUUUCACACCCUCAGCAGAUUGGUAUCUAUGUCCUCGUGUAAGUAUGUGAGCUGAUAAUCAAUAUUAGUAUUUUCAUAGGCAGCAAGUUGUUUAUUUGACAGUUCUAUUGAAUGCAGCUUUUCCUUGAGGAUUGGAGGAUUUGAUAUCUCAAAUUUGCAAUUUGAGAUAUCAAAAGGGGAUUAAUCACAAACAUUUUUAAAAAACCCAAUAGUUUAUUUUUCCCAGUUAUUGACUGAAUCACAGAAACAAGUGUCAGAACACAUUUUAUUCUAUGCACUCUUAGGAAAAAAAGUUUCAAAAUAUUGAGAAUGUUUGUGAAAUUUUCAGAAAGAUAUACCAAUAAUUAAAAAACCAAGGAGUAUUGAAGCUAGUGUAACUGUUUAAGUUUUGACCUCAAUGUAUUUGAUAAGCCCCAAAUUCUAGCUGCAGUUCUCAGCUGACAGAGGUACUACAAAUUCAAAUUAGAUAUUAGAUUUUAAUCGAAGAAGUGGUUUGGAAGGGAAAAAACAGAAAUGUCACAUUGACCACCUAUUGCUCCAUCCAAUAUACCACUUGUCAUACACCCUAAUGACAGACCACGGGUGCUUACAUCUCUACAUGAUUUCUGUCAAUUUGUUAUGCAUAAUUAAUUAUAGGGAAGUGUUUCUGAAAUGGAAUAGCAUAUCAGUAUAUGCUUAUGCUGAGAAAUGAUGGGGGAGGAAGAGAAGGAAAAUACAGAACAGGCCAUAAAGACAAAAUGAACAACUUGACAGUAAGAUGGUAUAUUAGGAGAGUACAUGCGUGCUUGCUUCUUCCAAAAAUUCAGUGUGCAUGCCUAUAAUGACGGGCGAGGGAGGAAGCAAAGGAGAAAGAAAGCAAACUUUGGCAAAGUUUCAGAAGGUGCAGUCUUUACAGUCCUUAAAAACAAAACAAAACAACAAAAAUACCCCCCAAAAAACCCCAAACAACAAACCCCCAAACAACAACAAAAACCCAACACUGAAAAA